CUCCAAAGUCCCCAAAAUUCCUCCCUGUUUUGGCUUUCAAAACCCCAAAUCCAAUUCCGAAUUACUUCUUAUUUUUCACCUUUCUUCUUCUUCUUCUUCUUUUGAACCCACAGUUUCUUUAAAAAUAUUUUGCAUUUUGCUAGAUCUAGGGUUCUUCGUCAAUCAAAAUUUUUGAGUAGACUGAAAAUAUGGAUAUUCCUCAAGAAAUCGGCGAUUACAUAAAAGGAACAAUCGAUGAUUCCUUAGGUCUUCAAGUCUCCACAGAAUCUUUGCUAUUGAAACUCCGUACCUCCGAAGAAACUCAGCGCCACCUCCGUGAGUAGUAUCUGUUCCUUCUCUCAAAACUAAAAGAGAAAGAUCAAGUCAUCGAGCAGUCAAAGGCGGAAGCGAAUAUGAAUGCUGUGGUGUUGAAGAGAUUCGUGCAAGAGAAUCAGAAGCUAGCGGCAGAGUGUGCGAAUUUGUUGACCCAGUGUAACAAAUGGGAAAGAGAGUGUUUGCUUUAUGACCGUGAUAGGGAGGCGUUGAUGGAUUUUGGAAAUGAGGCUGAUGAGAGGGCAAAGAAAGCUGAGAUUAGGGUUCAUGAUUUGGUAGAGGACUUAGGGUCGUUAAAUGAAGAAUUAAGGUUCUACAAAAACCGCUACGACAACCAAGGGGUAAUUUUAGGGACGACUUUGAUUGAUCCAUAUUCUGAGGGCACAACAGUGGAAGAGAAUUAACUUGAUUCGGUUCUAGCAACAUUGGUUUGUAAAGAUGAAGUUACAUCUGGACGAGCAUUCUUGGAGGCAAAUACUUCCCUUGAAUCAUGCCAAAGGUUGCUUAAAAUGUGGAAUAGGUUGAGGCCUUCAACUCAAAAAAUUUUGUCACUAGUUGCUGAAGUAAAGACCCUUAUGAAAGACAAGGAACAUCUCUAGCUAAACCUUAGUAAAGCUGAAGAAGAGGUGAGAACCAAAGAAUUUGAACGCGGGGUGCUUGUUGAAAUUUCUAUUCCCCUUGUCCAAACUUAACAAGGUAUUUUAUCUAUAUAGGCGAAAGUUCUGUUUGAAGAAAACAACAUGUUGGAUGAGGCGAACCGAAAAUUAUUGAGGCAAUCCCGUGAAGGAAAGAAUAUCCAUGAUUCUGGUGGGAAACAUACUAGCAGUGCAUCUGCAAAGACAAACAAAAGAAAAUCGAGUCCUAAGAUAUGCAGCCCGAUUGAGAAGAAGAUUAACUUUACCAAUCCAGAUUCAGCAAGAAAGCCUCUGUCACCAUUGCAAGAUAGGACCUAACUUAAUAGUUUAUUCUUUGUAUCAAUGAUGGUGUUUUAAGUAGAUUUACAGAUAGCUUUGCUGAAGCUACAGUCUGUGUAGUUUGUUAGUGAUAUAGUUUCAAACACCGGAAUGAAAGUCCAUUCGUUUUCAUG